UCGCCCCUACGGGGCGCAGCAGUGGGGAAUAUUGCACAAUGGGGGAAACCCUGAUGCAGCGACGCCGCGUGAGUGAAGAAGUAUUUCGGAAUGUAAAGCUCUAUCAGCAGGGAAGAAAUAGCGACCUUUGGGUCGCCAGACGGUACCUGAUUAAGAAGCCCCGGCUAACUACGUGCCAGCAGCCGCGGUAAUACGUAGGGGGCAAGCGUUAUCCGGAUUUACUGGGUGUAAAGGGAGCGUAGGCGGCGAUGCAAGUCAGAAGUGAAAGCCCGGGGCUCAACUCCGGGACUGCUUUUGAAAAUGUG
rnacentral:rRNA from 1 species